rnacentral:rRNA from 1 species
AUUGAACGCUGGCGGCAGGCCUAACACAUGCAAGUCGAGCGGAUGAAGGGAGCUUGCUCCUGGAUUCAGCGGCGGACGGGUGAGUAAUGCCUAGGAAUCUGCCUGGUAGUGGGGGAUAACGUCCGGAAACGGGCGCUAAUACCGCAUACGUCCUGAGGGAGAAAGUGGGGGAUCUUCGGACCUCACGCUAUCAGAUGAGCCUAGGUCGGAUUAGCUAGUUGGUGGGGUAAAGGCCUACCAAGGCGACGAUCCGUAACUGGUCUGAGAGGAUGAUCAGUCACACUGGAACUAAGACACGGUCCAGACUCCUACGGGAGGCGGCAGUGGGGAAUAUUGGACAAUGGGCGAAAGCCUGAUCCAGCCAUGCCGCGUGUGUGAAGAAGGUCUUCGGAUUGUAAAGCACUUUAAGUUGGGAGGAAGGGCAGUAAGUUAAUACCUUGCUGUUUUGACGUUACCAACAGAAUAAGCACCGGCUAACUUCGUG